GAAGGUAUGGCUCAGUGGUAGAUUGUGUGCUUGGCAUGCAUGAGGUCCUGGGUUCAAUCCCCAGUACCUCCA
rnacentral:tRNA from 1 species